rnacentral:ncRNA from 1 species
UUCAGAUAAAGCCAAAACCACGGGUAACCGGGUGACGGAAAGCCGACGGGUCCUUUAGUAAACAAGAAAUCAUUUUAUGAUUUCGUUAACGCACUUAUCCUGCUUGUCAGGGAAAAAGGAUGGCCGGGCCGCCUGG